rnacentral:misc_RNA from 1 species
UGUCUGGAGAUCCUUGUGCA